rnacentral:misc_RNA from 1 species
UGUAACAAGGUCUCCGUAGGUGAACCUGCGGAGGGAUCAUUACAAGUGACCCCGGCUACGGCCGGGAUGUUCAUAACCCUUUGUUGUCCGACUCUGUUGCCUCCGGGGCGACCCUGCCUUCGGGCGGGGGCUCCGGGUGGACACUUCAAACUCUUGCGUAACUUUGCAGUCUGAGUAAACUUAAUUAAUAAAUUAAAACUUUUAACAACGGAUCUCUUGGUUCUGGCAUCGAUGAAGAACGCAGCGAAAUGCGAUAAGUAAUGUGAAUUGCAGAAUUCAGUGAAUCAUCGAAUCUUUGAACGCACAUUGCGCCCCCUGGUAUUCCGGGGGGCAUGCCUGUUCGAGCGUCAUUUCACCACUCAAGCCUCGCUUGGUAUUGGGCAACGCGGUCCGCCGCGUGCCUCAAAUCGUCCGGCUGGGUCUUCUGUCCCCUAAGCGUUGUGGAAACUAUUCGCUAAAGGGUGUUCGGGAGGCUACGCCGUAAAACAACCCCAUUUCUAAGGUUGACCUCGGAUCAGGUAGGGAUACCCGCUGAACUUAAGCAUAUCA